rnacentral:rRNA from 1 species
CUUGAAACACGGACCAAGGAGUUUAUCGUGUACGCAAGUCAUUGGGUGUAUAAAACCCAAAGGCGAAAUGAAAGUAAAGAGUAGAUAUUUGUUUUAAUAAAAUUUAUUUUAACAAUCUCUCUUAAGGGAAGAUGGAAAUGUCAUAUAAAUAUAUAUGAACAUUUCCCGCACUCCCAGGGCGCUUGUAUCUCGCUUUGCGAGUCGAUGCGCACCCAGAGCGUACACGAUGAUACCCGAAAGAUGGUGAACUAUGCCUGGCCAGGACGAAGCCAGGGGAAACCCUGGUGGAGGUCCGCAGCGAUUCUGACGUGCAAAUCGAUCGUCGGAGCUGGGUAUAGGGGCGAAAGACCAAUCGAACCAUCUAGUAGCUGGUUCCCUCUGAAGUUUCCCUCAGGAUA